rnacentral:lncRNA from 1 species
GGAAACAGAGGACUUCUCUGGAAGUCCUUUCCUGACCUGACUCUCCAGCCAGCGUCAAGAUCCCUUCUUCUCAGCCCCCACAGCUCUGUCUGUCCGGGCUGAUCUGGACUUAUUUACAGAACUGAGACAGUAGUAAUUAAUAAGGUUGUAGGGUAGCAUGGGAAGUAAUGAGCAUCCUGUUGGUCAAAGAGAACAAGAAUGAGGUAGUGAUCCUCAGACAAAGAGCCUUGUGGUGAGAGUGCACACAGGUGGGUGCACUCACUCCCCCCAGAGUCCAAGAGGCUUGAAGCCCUGAACCUUGAGCAGUAAAAGACUGUGGUGUAUGGCAAAGCAUAGUGCUGCGUGCUGUGCCAUGUCUUUCCUCUCUCUGAUCCCUGCUCCUCAUCCAUAAAACAGAGAUUACCGCACCUAACACACAAGGCACCAUUCUCUCCUUUGCAUUAUCCCCUUCUCAUUUUGAGCCAGACACAUGGAUGGAUACCUGGAAGAGAUUCCAUGUCCCAGUCUGCCUGACAGUGAAAUGCCGCCAAGUGACUGAGUUGUCGUCCAAGGGAUGUGGGCAGAAAUGACAGGUCUAAUUCUGUGCUUUUUCUCCUCACACAGUCCUGGGAUUCUGAGGGCUGGAGUGCUGAGCCACACUGGACUGCAGAUGAUGCCUAACAACAGUGGAAAAGAAGGGAAAGGGCCCCAGUCCUUCACAGCUCCCCGGAGCAGAGUGCCUGCCCCAGUGACCCUCGGAUCCCCCUUUACACGAGCCUGGGGAGACACCAUACUCACCAUGAUGACUUUCCUCAGAAACUGCCAGGCCCAAUUCUUGACAUCUCUUGGAGGAGGGGCCCUGAGAGAGGCAUGGGAGUCAGCGGCUAGAGGUCACCCAGAAAACAGGCUUCCCUGAAUGAACAAGUGGGCAGGAGCAAGCACCAGGCACUGCUGAGCCAUUCGCCUUGUUUCUUGCCACAAGAUAUAGACUAAUCUAUUUAGUUAGAAAAACAUGGUUUAUUGCAAUCUAAGUAAUUUGUAUUUCUUUUUCUACCACAAGAUGUAAACUAAUCUAGUUAGCUAGAGCAAGUUGGUUUAACUGAAUUCAGAGUAAUUACCCUCCAAAGCAAAGCGAUGUGUGUGUUUUUUUGGUUUGUUGAGCUUUUUUCUUUUCUUUUCUUUUUUUCCCUUUUCCAGCAUUCAAAGGUUAAGAUAUAUAUGUACUUAUGAUUCAAAUAAAACCCAGCCGUCUUUUGGUUUGCCGGGGCCUUGGCCUUACUGGAGGGUCUCUAUCAUUGCCACCUGGGAUUUCCCGAAAAUGUGCUGGGGGUGGCAAUGGAAAAUACAGUAUGCUGUGGUGGAAAAACAAUUUUUAACAACAUUUCCUGGGGCAGCGGAACACCAGCUCAUUGGGAGAGUAUUUACCAUAAGGUGGGAGAGCUAAGUGGGGGCAGCCCAAGGGCAGGGGCUACCUUGAGCCUCGCUUCGGUCACUGUAGGCUGAGGGUCUCCAAGGUGGCCGUGUGUGCUCCCAGCCUUGCACGAAAAUGGAAAUGCUAUUCCAUUUUCUGAAGCCCACCAUAUCCCUAAUCUUGCCACUUUUAUUCCUAUAGGACAAGGGGGGAAACUGAGUCUCAGAGGGACAAGAUGAUGGGUCUGUGGUCUUGAGGCUAGGAGACAGCCUAGGACCCGCAGCAUUCCCAAUCCCAGAAACCCACAUCCCUCCCCAUGGCACUGCCCAAGCUCUGGUGCCACAGAGUAGGCAUUCCUGGAGCACGUUUGCUGGAGUGAAUGGGAUCCCAUGGCAUGUACGGCCAGACCACCCUCUACUCACACACCUCCUGUGGCAGGCUACUGACCAGUUCUGAGGGUCUGGGAAGCUCCUGAUCAUGAGAAAGCUCUUUUUCACUUCAUCAUGACUGUUUCCC